rnacentral:tRNA from 1 species
GGAGGGAUGGCCGAGCGGUUUAAGGCACCGGUCUUGAAAUUCGGUUGAGGCCGUCCCCGCGCGUUUUGCCUCGUUUGUUCAAGUCCGUUUCCGUCA